rnacentral:rRNA from 1 species
GACGAACGCUGGAGGCGUGCUUAACACAUGCAAGUCGAACGGAAAGGCCCUGCUUUUGUGGGGUGCUCGAGUGGCGAACGGGUGAGUAACACGUGAGUAGCCUGCCCUUGACUUUGGGAUAACUUCAGGAAACUGGGGCUAAUACCGGAUAGGAGCUCCUGCUGCAUGGUGGGGGUUGGAAAGUUUCGGCGGUUGGGGAUGGACUCGCGGCUUAUCAGCUUGUUGGUGGGGUAGUGGCUUACCAAGGCUUUGACGGGUAGCCGGCCUGAGAGGGUGACCGGCCACAUUGGGACUGAGAUACGGCCCAGACUCCUACGGGAGGCAGCAGUGGGGAAUAUUGCACAAUGGGCGGUAGCCUGAUGCAGCAACGCCGCGUGCGGGAUGACGGCCUUCGGGUUGUAAACCGCUUUCGCCUGUGACGAAGCGUGAGUGACGGUAAUGGGUAAAGAAGCACCGGCUAACUACGUGCCAGCAGCCGCGGUGAUACGUAGGGUGCGAGCGUUGUCCGGAUUUAUUGGGCGUAAAGGGCUCGUAGGUGGUUGAUCGCGUCGGAAGUGUAAUCUUGGGGCUUAACCCUGAGCGUGCUUUCGAUACGGGUUGACUUGAGGAAGGUAGGGGAGAAUGGAAUUCCUGGUGGAGCGGUGGAAUGCGCAGAUAUCAGGAGGAACACCAGUGGCGAAGGCGGUUCUCUGGGCCUUUCCUGACGCUGAGGAGCGAAAGCGUGGGGAGCGAACAGGCUUAGAUACCCUGGUAGUCCACGCUGUAAACGGUGGGUACUAGGUGUGGGGUCCAUUCCACGGGUUCCGUGCCGUAGCUAACGCUUUAAGUACCCCGCCUGGGGAGUACGGCCGCAAGGCUAAAACUCAAAGGAAUUGACGGGGCCCCGCACAAGCGGCGGAGCAUGCGGAUUAAUUCGAUGCAACGCGUAGAACCUUACCUGGGUUUGACAUGGAUCGGGAGUGCUCAGAGAUGGGUGUGCCUCUUUUGGGGUCGGUUCACAGGUGGUGCAUGGCUGUCGUCAGCUCGUGUCGUGAGAUGUUGGGUUAAGUCCCGCAACGAGCGCAACCCUUGUUCACUGUUGCCAGCACGUUAUGGUGGGGACUCAGUGGAGACCGCCGGGGUCAACUCGGAGGAAGGUGGGGAUGACGUCAAGUCAUCAUGCCCCUUAUGUCCAGGGCUUCACGCAUGCUACAAUGGCUGGUACAGAGAGUGGCGAGCCUGUGAGGGUGAGCGAAUCUCGGAAAGCCGGUCUCAGUUCGGAUUGGGGUCUGCAACUCGACCUCAUGAAGUCGGAGUCGCUAGUAAUCGCAGAUCAGCAACGCUGCGGUGAAUACGUUCCCGGG